rnacentral:rRNA from 1 species
AUUGAACGCUGGCGGCGUGCUUAACACAUGCAAGUCGAUCGGUAACGCGGGGGCAACCCUGGCGACGAGAGGCGGACGGGUGAGGAACGCUUGGGAAUCUGCCUAUCAGCGGGGGACAACCCGGGGAAACUCGGGCUAAUACCGCAUACGCUCUACGGAGGAAAGCCGGGGACCGCAAGGCCUGGCACUGAUAGAUGAGCCCAAGGCGGAGUAGCUAGUUGGCGGGGUAACGGCCCACCAAGGCGACGAUCCGUAGCUGGUCUGAGAGGACGAUCAGCCACACUGGGACUGAGACACGGCCCAGACUCCUACGGGAGGCAGCAGUGGGGAAUAUUGGACAAUGGGGGAAACCCUGAUCCAGCGACGCCGCGUGGGUGAAGAAGGCCUGCGGGUUGUAAAGCCCUUUCGGUAGGGACGAAAGCUCUCGACCUAACACGUCGGGAGGUUGACUUAACCUACAGAAGAAGCACCGGCUAACUCUGUGCCAGCCGCCGCCGUAA